rnacentral:rRNA from 1 species
UGGGGAAUAUUGGACAAUGGGCGAAAGCCUGAUCCAGCCAUGCCGCGUGUGUGAAGAAGGUCUUCGGAUUGUAAAGCACUUUAAGUUGGGAGGAAGGGCUGCAAGUUAAUACCUUGUAGUUUUGACGUUACCAACAGAAUAAGCACCGGCUAACUUCGUGCCAGCAGCCGCGGUAAUACGAAGGGUGCAAGCGUUAAUCGGAAUUACUGGGCGUAAAGCGCGCGUAGGUGGUUUGGUAAGAUGGAUGUGAAAUCCCCGGGCUCAACCUGGGAACUGCAUCCAGAACUGCCUGACUAGAGUACGGUAGAGGGUGGUGGAAUUUCCUGUGUAGCGGUGAAAUGCGUAGAUAUAGGAAGGAACACCAGUGGCGAAGGCGACCACCUGGACUGAUACUGACACUGAGGUGCGAAAGCGUGGGGAGCAAACA